rnacentral:snoRNA from 14 species
GAUCUUAAGUGCAUUUGACGACCCGUCUAGUGUGGUGAACUCUUGAGUUGAUAGUGUUGAACUCUGAGCUGGUGAUCUAAAG